rnacentral:rRNA from 1 species
UACGGGGGGGGUAAGCGUUGUUCGGAAUUACUGGGCGUAAAGGGCUCGUAGGCGGCCAACUAAGUCAUACGUGAAAUCCCUCAGCUUAACUGGGGAACUGCGUGUGAUACUGGAUGGCUUGGAUUUGGGAGAGGGAUGCGGAAUUCCAGGUGUAGCGGUGAAAUGCGUAGAUAUCUGGAGGAACACCGGUGGCGAAGGCAGGUCUCUGGGCCACUACUGACGCUGAGAAGCGAAAGCAUGGGGAGCGAACAGG